CACGUAGGGCGCAAGCGUUUGUCCGGAAUUAUUGGGCGUAAAGAGCUCGUAGGCGGUCUGUUGCGUCCGCUGUGAAAACUCGGGGCUUAACCCCGAGCCUGCAGUGGAUACGGGCAGACUAGAGGUAGGUAGGGGAGACUGGAAUUCCUGGUGUAGCGGUGGAAUGCGCAGAUAUCAGGAGGAACACCAAUAGCGAAGGCAGCUCGCUGGGACGUUACUGACACUGAGGCGCGAAAGCGUGGGGAGCGAACAGG
rnacentral:rRNA from 1 species